rnacentral:tRNA from 1 species
GAGGGCAUAGCUCAGUGGUAGAGUGUGUGCCUAGCAUGGCACGAGGUCCUGGGUUCAAUCCCCAGCACCUCCA